AAAAAAAUAAACUCUGGGUUUCCGUGUCCAACUUUGAUUGUCCGUAUUAUAUGAAAUUUUUUUAUAAUUCGUAUUUUUAUUGUUGUUAGAUGAUAAAAUAUAAUAUUUUAUGCGUGACUUGUCUUUUUAAUUUUUUUCAUAAUUUUUUCAAAUAAGACGGACAGUCAAACGUUGGACACGGAAACCAAGGAUUAUC
rnacentral:pre_miRNA from 1 species